GAUGAACGCUGGCGGCGUGCCUAAUACAUGCAAGUCGAGCGAACGGACGAGAAGCUUGCUUCUCUGAUGUUAGCGGCGGACGGGUGAGUAACACGUGGAUAACCUACCUAUAAGACUGGGAUAACUUCGGGAAACCGGAGCUAAUACCGGAUAAUAUUUUGAACCGCAUGGUUCAAAAGUGAAAGACGGUCUUGCUGUCACUUAUAGAUGGAUCCGCGCUGCAUUAGCUAGUUGGUAAGGUAACGGCUUACCAAGGCAACGAUGCAUAGCCGACCUGAGAGGGUGAUCGGCCACACUGGAACUGAGAAACGGUCCAGACUCCUAAGGGAGGCAGCAGUAGGGAAUCUUCCGCAAUGGGCGGAAGGCUGACGGAGCAACGGCGCGUGAGUGAUGAAGGUCUUCGGAUCGUAAAACUCUGUUAUUAGGGAAGAACAUAUGUGUAAGUAACUGUGCACAUCUUGACGGUACCUAAUCAGAAAGCCACGGCUAACUACGUG
rnacentral:rRNA from 1 species